rnacentral:rRNA from 1 species
UGUGUAGGCGGUCUUUCUAAGUUUGUUGUGAAAUCUCCCGGCUUAACCGGGAGGGUGCGGCGAAGACUGGAAGGCUAGAGUAUGGGAUGGGAGAGUGGAAUUCCUGGUGUAGCGGUGAAAUGCGUAGAUAUCAGGAGGAACACCUGCGGUGUAGACGGCUCUCUGGACCAUUACUGACGCUGAGACACGAAAGCGUGGGUAGCAAACAGGAUUAGAUACCCUGGUAGUCCACGCCCUAAACGAUGCAUAUUUGGUGUGGGCCAUUCAUUUGGUCUGUGCCGGAGCUACGCGUUAAAUAUGCCGCCUGGGGAGUACAGUCGCAAGGCUGAA